rnacentral:rRNA from 1 species
UAUGUGAUCGUCUCUCGCAUAUCAAUAAGCGGAGGAAAAGAAACUAACAAGGAUUCCCCUAGUAACGGCGAGUGAAGCGGGAAGAGCUCAAAUUUGAAAUCUUAAAGGGUUUCCCUUUACGAAUUGUAGUUUAAAGAAGUGUUUUCUGUUGAGGUUUUGGUAAAAGUUCUUUGGAAUAGGACAUCAUAGAGGGUGAGAAUCCCGUAUUUGACCUUUACUUUCAACUUUGUGAUACACUUUCAAAGAGUCGGAUUGUUUGGGAAUGCAGUCCAAAAUGGGUGGUAAAUUUCAUCUAAAGCUAAAUAUUGGCGAGAGACCGAUAGCGAACAAGUACCGUGAGGGAAAGAUGAAAAGAACUUUGAAAAGAGAGUUAAACAGUACGUGAAACUGUCAAAAGGGAAGCGUUUGACACCAGUGUUGUUUUUCUGAAAAUCAAUUAAAGAACUGUUUAUGCUAAGCUGUUUAGACUUUAUCAGCUAAUCUGUUUAGUUUUGAGCUUUUCUUUAAUGCACUUUUCAGUUAACAAGUCAACAUCAAUUUCUUUUGCUGUAAAAAAGCUUGAGGAAGGUGGCUUGAGAUUCGUCUUAAGUGUUUAUAGCCUCUUGCCUAUGCAGUCGGAGAGAUUGAGGUCUGCAGCGUAGAUCCUUCGGGGCUAAAUGCAUUUGUGCUAAGUUAUAGCAUUUUAUAGACAACUUGUUGACUAUGAUUUGUCUUGUAGCUUACUCGCUUAUGUUAUUUUACCUACGCUUAGGAUGUUGACACACGCGCGUGCUCG